rnacentral:rRNA from 1 species
AGAGUUUGAUCCUGGCUCAGGAUGAACGCUAGCGGCGGGCUUAAUACAUGCAAGUCGAGGGGCAGCACGAUGUAGCAAUACAUUGGUGGCGACCGGCGGACGGGUGCGUAACACGUAUGCAACUUGCCCUAUACUGGGGGAUAGCCCGAAGAAAUUCGGAUUAAUGCCCCAUAACAUCAGGAUAAGCAUUUAUCUUGGUUCAAAACUCCGGUGGUAUAGGAUGGGCAUGCGGUCGAUUAGCUUGUUGGUGAGGUAACGGCUCACCAAGGCGACGAUCGAUAGGGGGCCUGAGAGGGUGAUCCCCCACACUGGUACUGAGACACGGACCAGACUCCUACGGGAGGCAGCAGUAAGGAAUAUUGGUCAAUGGGCGAAAGCCUGAACCAGCCACGCCGCGUGAAGGAAGACGGCCCUACGGGUUGUAAACUUCUUUUCUACGGGAAUAAACCUCAGGACGUGUCCUGAGCUGAAGGUACCGUAGGAAUAAGGAUCGGCUAACUCCGUGCCAGCAGCCGCGGUAAUACGGAGGAUCCAAGCGUUAUCCGGAUUUAUUGGGUUUAAAGGGUGCGUAGGUGGGAUUAUAAGUCAGAGGUGAAAGCUAGCAGCUUAACUGUUAAAUUGCCUUUGAUACUGUUAUUCUUGAGUGUAGUUGGCGUUGGCGGAAUGUGACAUGUAGCGGUGAAAUGCGUAGAUAUGUCACAGAACACCGAUCGCGAAGGCAGCUAACGAAACUAUCACUGACACUGAUGCACGAAAGCGUGGGGAGCAAACAGGAUUAGAUACCCUGGUAGUCCACGCCGUAAACGAUGAUAACUCGACGUUGGCAAUAUACUGUUCAGCGUCCAAGCGAAAGCGUUAAGUUAUCCACCUGGGGAGUACGAUCGCAAGGUUGAAACUCAAAGGAAUUGACGGGGGCCCGCACAAGCGGUGGAGCAUGUGGUUUAAUUCGAUGAUACGCGAGGAACCUUACCAGGGCUUAAAUGGGAAUUGACAGACUGGGAAACUAGUCCUCCUUAGGGCAAUUUUCAAGGUGCUGCAUGGUUGUCGUCAGCUCGUGCCGUGAGGUGUUGGGUUAAGUCCCGCAACGAGCGCAACCCCUACUGUUAGUUGCCAGCAUGUAAUGAUGGGGACUCUAGCAGAACUGCCAGCGCAAGCUGUGAGGAAGGUGGGGAUGACGUCAAAUCAUCACGGCCCUUACGUCCUGGGCUACACACGUGCUACAAUGGUCGAUACAGAGGGCAGCCACCUGGUGACAGGGAGCAAAUCCUUAAAAUCGAUCUCAGUUCGGAUUGGAGUCUGCAACUCGACUCUAUGAAGCUGGAAUCGCUAGUAAUCGCGCAUCAGCCAUGGCGCGGUGAAUACGUUCCCGGGCCUUGUACACACCGCCCGUCAAGCCAUGGAAGUUGGGGGUGCCUAAAGUGCGUAACCGUAAGGAGCGCCCUAGGGCAAAACUGAUAACUGGGGCUAAGUCGUAACAAGGUAGCCGUACCGAAGGUGUGGCUG